rnacentral:rRNA from 1 species
CCCCUAGUAACGGCGAGUGAAGAGGGAGAAGCCCAGCACCGAAGCCUGCGGUAGUUUUACCGCUAGGCAAUGUGGUGUUUGGGUCGGCUGGCGGGACUGCCACUCCAUUCGAAGUCCAGCAUUGAGUAUGGUACCCUGGAUUUGGCCCAUAGAGGGUGAAAGGCCCGUGCGAAUGGAUGUUUCAGACAUGAAAGGCAGUUCAUCAGGUCGACCUUCGAGUCGGGUUGUUUGAGAAUGCAGCCCAAAGCGGGUGGUAAACUCCAUCCAAGGCUAAAUACUAACACGAGUCCGAUAGCGAACAAGUACCGUGAGGGAAAGUUGAAAAGCACUCUGAAGAGAGAGUAAACAGUACGUGAAACCGUAUAAAGGUAAACGGGUGGCGUCAAGCUGCAAGCCUAGAGGAUUCAGCUGGUCAUCAUUUUGUGUAUACGUCCUGUGUAUGUCAGUCGGUAAUAGGCGAGUAGUCCACUGGGUAACGGUGGGCCCGACCGCAAGGUUGGGAUGUAUGUGCCACACGGUUGGUGGUGUACGCUGCUCAACUAUUGGACUGGAUGGCUAGUGCACUUCCUCUAUUAAGGUGAACACCACGACCGGUGGAACUGCCAGUCUGGUAUGGUCAAGUUGUGUGCAAUUGUGCUUUCGGGUGCAUUGGAUGCAAUCACAGGCAAAUUCGGUGGACGGUGGGCUUGCUCAUGUUAUCGGCCAUCGGUUGUCAACGGGUGUGUUCGUCAGUAUGGUUGCAGUACCUGACGGAUGAUCUGGUGGACUAUACUGGUAAGAAUAACUGUGCAGGGCACCGGAGUUAUCGGUCUCUAAUUACCGGCUGAUGCAUGCACUGCAAGUGUGUGUGGGGAUGCUAUUGCGGCCUGUCGUUGGCUAGGUGUGAUUGUCGUGUCGUCUGCGAAAAGCAGUCCCGGCAGUGGCUUGGCUACGGUUGGUGCAUGUAGUGGUAUUUCUUUGUCAGUCGGUGUGGGCCGUAUAGUCUGUGGUGUAGUGGUAGAUUAGCUACCCGACCCGUCUUGAAACACGGACCAAGGAGUUCAACAUGCACGCGAGUCAAUGGGCACUUCCGAAACCCAAAGGCGCAGUGAAAGUGAAGCUGCACGUUGUCUUCGGACAGCGGGUAGCGUGGUGAGAUCCUGCUGUUACUCGCAUCUGCACUUCUGUGUAAUUGUCUGUGUUGGCACAGGGCGCAAAGAGCGGUAGGCGCAUCACCGGCCCGUCUCAUGAUGUGGUCAUUGGUGUAACCAUUCCAGUGCGUCAUCGUGGCGGAGCAUGAGCGUGCAUGUUGAGACCCGAAAGAUGGUGAACUAUGCUUGCGUAGGUUGAAGCCAGAGGAAACUCUGGUGGAAGGCCGCAGCGAUUCUGACGUGCAAAUCGAUCGUCAAACGUGAGUAUAGGGGCGAAAGACUAAU